rnacentral:rRNA from 1 species
CUACGUGCCAGCAGCCGCGGUAAUACGGAAGGUCCGGGCGUUAUCCGGAUUUAUUGGGUUUAAAGGGAGCGUAGGCUGGAGAUUAAGUGUGUUGUGAAAUGUAGACGCUCAACGUCUGACUUGCAGCGCAUACUGGUUUCCUUGAGUACGCACAACGUUGGCGGAAUUCGUCGUGUAGCGGUGAAAUGCUUAGAUAUGACGAAGAACUCCGAUUGCGAAGGCAGCUGACGGGAGCGCAACUGACGCUUAAGCUCGAAGGUGCGGGUAUCGAACAGGAUUAGAUACCCUGGUAGUCCGCACAGUAAACGAUGGAUGCCCGCUGUUGGUACCUGGUAUCAGCGGCUAAGCGAAAGCAUUAAGCAUCCCACCUGGGGAGUACGCCGGCAACGGUGAAACUCAAAGGAAUUGACGGGGGCCCGCACAAGCGGAGGAACAUGUGGUUUAAUUCGAUGAUACGCGAGGAACCUUACCCGGGCU